AUUUUAUGGUGAAGGUACCUAGCAAAUAAUCUCUUGAACCACUCCCAAUACUCAUACAAUGACUCCUCAGUCUGUUGGCAAAUGCCACUAAUUUCCUUUCUUAUACU